GCCGAAGUGGUGGAAUUGGUAGACACGCUGUGUUGAGGGCGCAGUGGGCUACGCUCGUGCCGGUUCGACUCCGGCCUUCGGCACCA
rnacentral:tRNA from 1 species